UAGAGCGUGGGAGAGGAUGGUAGAUUCCCAGGUGGCGCGGUAAAGUGUGUAGAGAUGGGGAGGAACACCGGGGGAGAAGGCAGCCAUGUUGCGUAACAGAGACGGUGAGGUGAGAAAGCGUGGGGAGCAAACAGGAUGAGAUCCCGUGGUUGUCCACGCCGUAAACGAAGUCUUAUAUGCGUUGGGGCCUCUGACGCUUUAGUGGCGCAGCUAACCCUAUAACUAGCCCGCCUGGGGAGUACGGUCGCAAGACUAAAAUUCAAAUAAAUUGAGGGGGGCCCGCACAAGCGGUGGACCAUGUGGUUUAUUUGGAUGCAACGGGAAGACCCUUACCGGUCCUUGACAUAUUAGAAACUUUCCAGAGAAGGAUUUGUGCCUUCGGGAAUCUACAUACAGGUGCUGCAUGGCUGUUGUCAGCUCGUGUUCUGAGAUGUUGGGUUAAGUCCCGCAACGAGCGCAACCCUUUUCUUUACUUGCCAGCAUUUCGGAUGGGAACUUUAAGGAUACUGCCAGUGACAAACUGGAGGAAGGCGGGGACGACGUCAAGUCAUCAUGGCCCUUACGGCCAGGGCUACACACGUGCUACAAUGGUCGGUACAAAGGGCUGCUACCUAGCGAUAGGAUGCUAAUCUCAAAAAGCCGAUCGUAGUCCGGAUUGGAGUCUGCAACUCGACUCCAUGAAGCCGGAAUCGCUAGUAAUCGCGGAUCAGAAUGCCGCGGUGAAUACGUUCCCGGGCCUUGUACACACCGCCCGUCA
rnacentral:rRNA from 1 species